AAUGGGUCAGCGACUUAUAUUCUGUAGCAAGGUUAACCGAAUAGGGGAGCCGAAGGGAAACCGAGUCUUAACUGGGCGUUAAGUUGCAGGGUAUAGACCCGAAACCCGGUGAUCUAGCCAUGGGCAGGUUGAAGGUUGGGUAACACUAACUGGAGGACCGAACCGACUAAUGUUGAAAAAUUAGCGGAUGACUUGUGGCUGGGGGUGAAAGGCCAAUCAAACCGGGAGAUAGCUGGUUCUCCCCGAAAGCUAUUUAGGUAGCGCCUCGUGAAUUCAUCUCCGGGGGUAGAGCACUGUUUCGGCAAGGGGGUCAUCCCGACUUACCAACCCGAUGCAAACUGCGAAUACCGGAGAAUGUUAUCACGGGAGACACACGGCGGGUGCUAACGUCCGUCGUGAAGAGGGAAACAACCCAGACCGCCAGCUAAGGUCCCAAAGUCAUGGUUAAGUGGGAAACGAUGUGGGAAGGCCCAGACAGCCAGGAUGUUGGCUUAGAAGCAGCCAUCAUUUAAAGAAAGCGUAAUAGCUCACUGGUCGAGUCGGCCUGCGCGGAAGAUGUAACGGGGCUAAACCAUGCACCGAAGCUGCGGCAGCGACGCUUAUGCGUUGUUGGGUAGGGGAGCGUUCUGUAAGCCUGUGAAGGUGUGCUGUGAGGCAUGCUGGAGGUAUCAGAAGUGCGAAUGCUGACAUAAGUAACGAUAAAGCGGGUGAAAAGCCCGCUCGCCGGAAGACCAAGGGUUCCUGUCCAACGUUAAUCGGGGCAGGGUGAGUCGACCCCUAAGGCGAGGCCGAAAGGCGUAGUCGAUGGGAAACAGGUUAAUAUUCCUGUACUUGGUGUUACUGCGAAGGGGGGACGGAGAAGGCUAUGUUGGCCGGGCGACGGUUGUCCCGGUUUAAGCGUGUAGGCUGGUUUUCCAGGCAAAUCCGGAAAAUCAAGGCUGAGGCGUGAUGACGAGGCACUACGGUGCUGAAGCAACAAAUGCCCUGCUUCCAGGAAAAGCCUCUAAGCAUCAGGUAACAUCAAAUCGUACCCCAAACCGACACAGGUGGUCAGGUAGAGAAUACCAAGGCGCUUGAGAGAACUCGGGUGAAGGAACUAGGCAAAAUGGUGCCGUAACUUCGGGAGAAGGCACGCUGAUACGUAGGUGAAGUCCCUCGCGGAUGGAGCUGAAAUCAGUCGAAGAUACCAGCUGGCUGCAACUGUUUAUUAAAAACACAGCACUGUGCAAACACGAAAGUGGACGUAUACGGUGUGACGCCUGCCCGGUGCCGGAAGGUUAAUUGAUGGGGUUAGCGGUAACGCGAAGCUCUUGAUCGAAGCCCCGGUAAACGGCGGCCGUAACUAUAACGGUCCUAAGGUAGCGAAAUUCCUUGUCGGGUAAGUUCCGACCUGCACGAAUGGCGUAAUGAUGGCCAGGCUGUCUCCACCCGAGACUCAGUGAAAUUGAACUCGCUGUGAAGAUGCAGUGUACCCGCGGCAAGACGGAAAGACCCCGUGAACCUUUACUAUAGCUUGACACUGAACAUUGAGCCUUGAUGUGUAGGAUAGGUGGGAGGCUUUGAAGUGUGGACGCCAGUCUGCAUGGAGCCGACCUUGAAAUACCACCCUUUAAUGUUUGAUGUUCUAACGUUGGCCCCUGAUCGGGGUUGCGGACAGUGUCUGGUGGGUAGUUUGACUGGGGCGGUCUCCUCCUAAAGAGUAACGGAGGAGCACGAAGGUUGGCUAAUCCUGGUCGGACAUCAGGAGGUUAGUGCAAUGGCAUAAGCCAGCUUGACUGCGAGCGUGACGGCGCGAGCAGGUGCGAAAGCAGGUCAUAGUGAUCCGGUGGUUCUGAAUGGAAGGGCCAUCGCUCAACGGAUAAAAGGUACUCCGGGGAUAACAGGCUGAUACCGCCCAAGAGUUCAUAUCGACGGCGGUGUUUGGCACCUCGAUGUCGGCUCAUCACAUCCUGGGGCUGAAGUAGGUCCCAAGGGUAUGGCUGUUCGCCAUUUAAAGUGGUACGCGAGCUGGGUUUAGAACGUCGUGAGACAGUUCGGUCCCUAUCUGCCGUGGGCGCUGGAGAACUGAGGGGGGCUGCUCCUAGUACGAGAGGACCGGAGUGGACGCAUCACUGGUGUUCGGGUUGUCAUGCCAAUGGCACUGCCCGGUAGCUAAAUGCGGAAGAGAUAAGUGCUGAAAGCAUCUAAGCACGAAACUUGCC
rnacentral:rRNA from 1 species